rnacentral:rRNA from 1 species
AUGACGUCCGAGCGCCCGCUUAUCGACGCCGCCUCCGCGCACCCGCCGCCGCCGGCGUCGCAACUCCCGCCGUCGCAGCCGGAGCCUUCCGUUCGCGCUGACCACCUGGGCUUCUCCGUUGAGGUCCCGGACCCCUUCCGCCCCUCCCGACGCGACCAGCCCGACCCGUCGGCGUCGGAGCGGGAGCUCCACGAGGGGGGUGAGUACCGCGCCGUCGCCGUGGGGGAGCCAUCGCCGGAGUUUGCCGGCAACGCUGUCCGGACGGCCAAGUACUCCGCGCUCACCUUCCUGCCGCGCAACCUGUUCGAGCAGUUCCGACGGCUGUCGUACGUCUACUUCCUCGCCAUCACCGUGCUCAACCAGCUCCCCCAGGUCGCCGUCUUUGGCCGUGGCGCGUCUGUGCUCCCGCUGGCCUUCGUGCUCUUCGUCACCGCUGUGAAGGACGCCUACGAGGACAUCCGCCGCCACCGCUCCGACCGCAGGGAGAACAACCGCCUCGCCGCCGUCCUCGCGCCACAAACCGCCGGCGAGUACCUCCCCAAGAAAUGGAAGCACAUACGCGUCGGGGACGUCGUGCGCGUCGCGUCCAACGAGACGCUCCCGGCCGACAUGGUUCUGCUCGCCACUAGUGACCCCACUGGCCUCGCGCACGUCCAGACCGUCAAUCUUGACGGGGAGACCAACCUCAAGACGAGGUAUGCCAAGCAGGAGACGCAGUUGAGGUUCUCUCACGACGGCCACGUAGCUGGUAUGCUGCAUUGCGAGCGGCCCAACAGGAACAUUUGUGGGUUCCAGGCGAAUUUGGAGAUCGACGGCAAUCGUGUCUCACUCGGACCGUCCAACAUUGUGCUCCGUGGUUGUGAGCUCAAGAAUACCACAUGGGCUAUAGGGGUCGUGGUUUAUGCUGGAAAGGAGACUAAGGUCAUGCUCAACAACUCUGGGCCGCCAUCCAAGCGUAGCCGCUUGGAGACACAGUUGAAUCGGGAGACAGUCAUAUUGUCCAUUAUGCUCAUUGGGAUGUGCAUAACUGCAUCUGUGCUCGCAGGGAUUUGGCUGCUGAAUCACCAGCGGGAGCUUGAGUUCACCCAAUUCUUUAGAGAAAAGGAUUACACAACCGGGAAGAACUACAAUUACUAUGGAAUCGGAAUGCAGAUAUUCGUUACAUUCCUCAUGGCCGUCAUAGUGUAUCAGUGCAGGGCUCUGAAUAUAAAUGAGGAUUUGGGGCAGAUUAAGUAUGUUUUCUCUGAUAAGACAGGGACGCUGACAGAGAACAAGAUGGAGUUCAUGUGUGCAUCCAUUCACGGAGUUGAUUACAGUUCUGGCAAACCUGCAUGUGGGUCCUCAGUUGUAGUUGAUGAUCUUCUGUGGACACCAAAAAUGGCAGUUAGGACUGACCCUCAGCUUUUGAAGUUAUUGAACAAUGACAGCUCAAAUGAGGAAGCAAAGCUUGUCCUUGAAUUCUUCCUUGCUCUUGCUGCCUGCAAUACAAUUGUGCCACUUGUCCUGGACACUAGAGAUCCUAAACAAAAGUUGAUUGAUUAUCAGGGUGAGUCCCCUGAUGAGCAGGCACUAGCUUAUGCUGCAGCAACUUAUGGCAUUGUGCUUGUUGAGCGAACAUCUGGUUACGUAGUGAUCGAUGUCCUUGGUGACAGACAGAGAUUUGAUAUAUUAGGACUUCAUGAGUUUGAUAGUGAUCGUAAGAGGAUGUCUGUCAUUGUCGGCUGCCCUGAUAAGACUGUUAAGUUAUAUGUCAAAGGUGCAGACAGUUCAAUGUUUGGAAUUAUCAACAAAUCAUUAGAGCUGGACAAUGUUCGUGCUACAGAGGCACAUCUCCACAAAUAUUCAUCACUUGGCCUAAGAACUCUUGUUGAGUGGCAGUUGGCAUAUGAGAAGGCUAGCACAGCAGUACUUGGCAGGGGAAAUUUACUCCGAUCAAUUGCAGCCAACGUAGAGUGCAAUAUCCACAUAUUGGUGGCCUCUGGGAUUGAAGAUAAGCUUCAAGAUGGGGUACCAGAAGCAAUAGAAUCUCUUCGGCAAGCAGGCAUGAAAGUUUGGAUUUUAACAGGGGAUAAGCAGGAGACAGCAAUUUCUAUUGGCUACUCUUGUAAGCUGCUGACGAAUGACAUGACACAAAUUGUGAUAAAUAACAAUUCUAAGGAGUCUUGCAAGAAAAGUCUCGGGGAAGCACUUGCAAGAACUAAGGAGCACAGAGUUGCUUUGUCAAUUGGCUCACCGUAUCCAGUGUUAGCAUCAGAAUCUUCUGGUACAGUUCUUGCUUUGAUUGUGGACGGUAACAGCCUUGUUUACAUACUUGAGACAGAGUUGCAAGAAGAGCUUUUCAAAGUAGCAACAGAAUGUAGUGUUGUCUUAUGUUGUCGAGUGGCUCCUCUACAAAAGGCAGGCAUAGUUGCACUUAUCAAAAACAGGACAGAUGAUAUGACCUUAGCAAUUGGUGAUGGAGCAAAUGAUGUUUCAAUGAUCCAAAUGGCUGAUGUUGGGGUUGGUAUCAGUGGCCAAGAAGGAGGACAAGCUGUUAUGGCAUCAGAUUUUUCUAUGGGACAAUUCAGAUUCUUGGUUCCUCUUCUAUUAGUUCAUGGUCACUGGAAUUAUCAAAGGAUGGGUUACAUGAUCCUUUACAACUUCUACAAGAAUGCCACAUUUGUCUUGGUUCUUUUCUGGUAUGUGCUUUAUACAUCAUUCACUUUGACGACUGCUAUCACCGAAUGGAGUAGUCUCCUGUAUACUGUGCUUUAUACAUCCCUUCCAACAAUUGUUGUUGGUAUUCUUGACAAGGAUCUUAGCAAGUCAACACUGCUAGCUUACCCAAAGCUUUAUGGAUCUGGCCAACGGGAUGAGAAGUAUAAUUUGAAUUUGUUUGUCCUCAAUAUGCUUGAAGCACUUUGGCAGAGUUUGGUUGUGUUCUACAUACCGUAUUUUGCAUAUCGACAAAGUACUAUAGGCAUGUCUAGUCUUGGAGAUUUGUGGGCACUUGCAUCAGUCAUCGUUGUAAAUAUGCAAUUGGCCAUGGACAUCAUUCGGUGGAAUUGGAUUAUACAUGCGUUCGUAUGGGGGACGAUAGCAGCAACAGUGAUUUGUCUAUUUGUGAUAGAUUCGAUAUGGGUUCUUCCUGGUUAUGGGGCCAUCUAUCACAUAAUGGGGCAAGGCUUGUUUUGGUUACUGCUGCUUAUCAUUGUUGUCACAGCAAUGAUCCCACAUUUUGCAAUCAAGGCUUUCACGGAGCAUUUUGUUCCCAGUGAUAUUCAAAUCGGCCGAGAAAUAGAGAAGUUUGAGGCUUUAAAUCAGGUGAAUCGUUCGGAAAUUCCAAUGCGAACGUUUUCAUGA